rnacentral:misc_RNA from 1 species
GCUAUCGGCAAAUCUAUCAUGAUUCAUUGGCAUUCGGCAUAUUCGAAUUCAACAACUCUAUUUUGCGUUUAAUUUUUUAGAAAAGUUCAUUGAACUUGUUGGUGUUCUUGAUGGUUCAAGUGACGAUGUCCGAUCAAAACCCUAACCCUAAAUCAAUUGAUCUAUCUCUUGGGUCUUGCAUUCUCCGAAAGAGUCUCUGCUAAGAAUCUCCCUUGCG